rnacentral:rRNA from 1 species
CACGUAGUUAGCCGGCGCCUCUUUACCCACUACCCUCACCACAACCAUUGUUGCGGCUUGACCAUGAGCGAAAGAGGUUCACAACCCGAAGGCCUCCAUCCCUCACGCGGCGUCGCUGCAUCAGGCUUGCGCCCAUUGUGCAAUAUUCCCCACUGCUGCCUCCCGUAGGAGUCUGGGCCGUAUCUCAGUCCCAAUGUGACCGGUCACCCUCUCAGGCCCGGCUACCCGUCAAAGCCUUGGUAGGCCAUCACCCCACCAACAAGCUGAUAGGCCGCGAGCCCAUCCCCCACCAGAAAAACCCUUUCCACCAACCCCCAUGCGAAGACCAGUGAAUAUCCAGUAUUAGCACCCGUUUCCGGGCGUUAUCCCAAAGAAGGGGCAGGUUACUCACGUGUUACUCACCCGUUCGCCACUCACUCCAACCCAACAAAAGCUAGAGCUUCAGCGUUCGACUUGCAUGUGUUAAGCACGCCGCCAGCGUCGUCUUGAGUCGACGGAGUCAACCGUACUACUCG